UUGCAGGGGGGGGAACGAGAGGUCGUUGUUCCUCGUCGGGAAGUGGCGCUCGCGAAUUUACCGGUCGAUUUGGACGUAGCCCGGGUAUCGAUACCUGCUAAAUGUUCACACCGAGUCGUUCGAAUGGGUAUUUUUGGCGUUCUUAAAGAAUAAACACGAAGGGAAAGAAAUGAAACCCCCCCGCAGCCCGGAGCCCGCUUUCAGGCGGACCUGUAGUAGAAUCAAUUCACCGAGUGGGGAGCUUGAAACCGUCCACUCGCGCUUCUGAGGUGAGUUUGGAGAGAAAGAAGUGUUGAGCACAGUUUAGAUUUCGCCGUCGUGUGUCUCUCACGCUUUAGUAAACUAACCGAACAGUAUCACACACACACACGUAUAUAUAUGUGUAUAUUUUAAACAUUUACACAUGUAUGCAGGCAGUGAGACAGCUUUAAGUUGAAAAUGAAUCGCCAUUUGUUUGUUUUUUGGACGGAAGAAAAUCGCCUCAGACAAGCGGCACGCGCGUUUGGCGCGAAAACAAACAAACAAACAAACAAAAAAAAAUCGUCGACUGUGUCCGUAUACUUUUGGACCUGAACCUGAGCAACUUGAUAGUUUUUGGUGUAUUGCAAAGCAAAAAGGCCUGGAAGUUUAUCUGGAGGAAAUACGAGCAGUGUGAAAACAAAAAAGCCAAUACACCAAAUCUUGACUGCAAUGAACUCUGGGUAAAAAAACAAAACAAAACAAAGCCCAGAAGUAGAAAAAGAUCUUAAAAAAAUGACCCCAUGACACCAUUUACGCUCUCGCUCGUGUCCGUAAAGCUUAAACGAGAGUCGUUUUCCCUGUAAAUUCCCUAUUGAAGCGUUCUGUGAAAGGCAUCGGUCAUCACGGUCAUGUGUAUGAAACCCGGUUCUAUUUUAAACACCUGUGAAAUGAAGGCGUUUGAGCGUUUCGUCAGCUGUCAAUCAUCCGGCAAGGUCACCCGGAUCUGUGGAAGACGGUCACUCCGGACAGCAGGAAAAAGAAAGAAAAAAAAAGCUAGCAGGUUGACCCUUAAGGUACGAAGACGAGAAAGGACACGUGAUGGGAUAAUGAAACGUUGGUGUCACCUAAUGGUGUUUGGUUCUUUUACAGAAAUCGUGUGAGACCCUAAAACAACAAGUAUCCUGUACGGACCACCACGGGAUUGAAUUUUUGGGUUCUAAGCGUUCUCUUUCCAAAAAGUCUUCCCAAACUACCAAAGUGAAGUUGCUUAGCUCCCCCUGUGUGAAGAAGACGGUAUCACACGCCAUCUAGGGUUUUGAUACUGAUGAGCCACAUGAUUAGAUGUGUGGUCAGAUUCAUUUCUCUCAAGAGAGCAGGUUCCGACUGAUAAAAAACAAUAUAAAAGCUGUUUUAAAGCUCUGGCAAGAUGAAGCAGUGUGUUCUGGAAAAGACUCGGAUUUUGUGUCCAGAAUGAUCGACAGUGGUGUCUUUGUAAACGAACGGAGGUAAGAGUUUCUGGGCGUCAAGUGUCGGUGAGAUUCUUUACCGCUUAUGAUGGAGAAUGCAGUCAUUUUGCUAAUUCUCAUUGAUCGCCAUUACCACAUACACUGACCAGACAUAAUAUUAUGACCACCUGCCUAAUAAUAUUGGGUUGGUGCUGCCCAAAACAGCCCUGACCCAUCCUGCACUGUGUAUUCUGAUACCUUUCUAUCAGAACCAGCAUUAACUUCUUCAGCAAUUUGAGCAACAGUAGCUCGUCUGUUGGAUCGGAUCACACGGGCCAGCCUUCACUCCCCACAUGCUUCAGUGAGCCUUGGCCGCCCAUGACCCUGUCACCGGUUCACCACUGUUCCUUCCUUGGAGCACUUUUGAUAAAUACUGACCACUGCAGACCGGGAACACCCCACAAGAGCUGCGGUUUUGGAGAUGCUCUGAUCCAGUGGUCUAGCCAUCACAAUUUGGUCCUUCGGCAAACUCGCUCCAAUUCUUACACUUGUCCAUUUUUCCUGCUUCUAACACAUCAACUUUGAGGACAGAAUGUUGACUUGCUGCCUAAUAUAUCCCACCCACUAACAGGUGCCAUGAUGAGGAGAUCAUCAGUCUUAUUUACUUCACCUCUCAGUGGUCAUAAUGUUAUGAUCGGUGUAUAUGUGGAUCUUUAUUGUCGUCUGCGUUACAGUGGAUCACAAGCCUAUCCCAGCUGAGAAUUAUACAACCCUGAAUGGAGAGAAGAAACUGGAGGAGAAGCUAAGGAUCGAACCUGCAGCUCUGAUGCUAAGAAAAAGGUUAAACUGAGGUGAGUUACAUCAAAUAUGGUUUCGUCCAACUCAAAUCAACCACUCAGACACAAAAAAUUCCAGAAAUCAUGUUUAAGAAACUGGAGAAAUUCACCACAGAAGCAACAGAUACCAGUAAAGAAGCCAAUUAUGAAGUUGAGCAUUACCAUAAGACAGACAGAUGGUUGUUGACCUGCACAAGUUGGUUAAUGAAUAAAAAGAAUUAUAUGGGCAGUUGAAACAACAAUUAAGCCUUCUCUGGGAUUCGUAGGGUUGUCAAGCUUUAAAACAACAAGCUGUUUGGAAGGAUUCCAAAGCUUAAAAUGCAGUGGCCGAACUUCAUCAGGUGUCGUCUGAACUCCAGUUUGAAAAGCAUACUCGAAUCUGAGGCAGCAGUCGAACCCUGCGGUGCAUAUCCUCACCACGUUCGAUGGAAAUGCUGCCGUAUGAUAAGCUGCAGGUAAGGUAAGGUUGCUUCUAGAAGAAUCUGUGGAUCUAAACAUCAUCUAAAACCUCGUCUUUAAAGCAAUCUCUUAUUGCAUCCUCACCUGGAUCUUAAAAAUAGUACAAAAAUCAUCGAGAAACCAGGACAUACAAUGAAACUGGAGACUUUUUUCGAAAAACGUAGGUUUCAAAUUGAACACAGAUUUCUCAGUGUGAAGAAAGUAGGCAGCUACGUGUCUGCAAAAUGAUCUCUCGACGACGUAAAAGUUAGCCGGGAUUAUAGAACCUGUUUUACUUCUUCUACAACACGCAAGACCCAACUCAUCAGGUACUUAACAAAGCCUCCAUGACCUCAGUCAUUUGUGUUAGAUCAGGGGAAAACAAAAAAUGUGCAUCUGAUUAGAACUGGGAUUGAGAACUUCUGUGGCAGACGGGGCAGCAUUAAGCUAAUGCCUGAGCCUGGGGCUGAUGAAUACAUGAGGCCCCACAUUUCUGAAAUGUUUCCUCCAAGCACAUGCAACAGACUUCAUACGCUUCCGUCGUAACAAUCUGCACCAAGUCCAGCAGGAUGCAAUGAACAAGACCAAAGUGAUUAAGUGUAUUAACUGUGUUUUAACUGUGUAUUACAUGCAUUGUGGUUUUCAUACAUACACUUUCAGAAAAAUGUCCUUUCUGAGCAGAAAUAUAGUUCUCCAGCUGCCGAUAUAGUUCUCCAGCUGCCGGUUAAACAGGUUGAGAGAGCAAGAUUGAAUGUUUUACUGCCAGUGUGUAAAGUCUGACUGAGUUCCACUUGCAGAAACUGAUGUUCCUAGAAGAAAGUGUAAUCACUGAUGGCUGUUGUUCCCAAUAACCAAUCAGUCAUCACCAUUUUAACGGGUGAUAAGUCACUCAUCAUUAAAUAUUCCAUGUGAUCACUGAUGACCAUUGAUACCAAUGACAAAUCACUGGUCGCCACUUUUACCAACAAUCAUUGGUCACCAUUGCUGCCAUGGACUAAUUAGUUAUGAUUCCCAACAUUACAAUUCACCAUUGUUACCAAUAACCAAUCAGUGAUCAUAAUUGUUGUCCAAUAACCAAUCACUGAUCUGCAUAUUAACCAGUGAUCAGUCACUCAUCCCCAGCAUUCCAAAUAAUUAAUCACUGGUGACCAUUGAGACAAUUUUCGGUCACCUUUGCUGCCAUGGACUGAUCACCUAUGUUUCACAACAUUACUAAACCCAAUUGUUACCAAUAACCAAUUAUUGAUCAUCAUUCCUACCAUGGACCAUCUUUGAUUUCCAAUAACCAAUACAUAAAUAGUGCAUUUGCAGAGCCAUGACCAAACACUGUCUAUUAUUCUAAAUAUCUAUUAUUUAUUAAUAUGCAAAUUAACCUAGUGAUACCUGAAAAGAGGGAAAGCAGAUGGUUUCUCUGCCACAGAAAGAAAAUCUAGAAAGCAACCAUUUCCUAUAUGAAAACUAAAAAGAAAAAUGUUUUUGCUAGAAAGUGUUAAAGCACACAGAAAGCAUUUUGCAUUUGAAAUGCAGCUUGUGUUUGGGAGAGCUGACUGAUAAACUGUAACCAAUAACAUGAGCCAUUCCUAUCUCGGUCAUGGUGGAGUGUGUCAUUUCCGGUAUGAGACAUCUAGAAUGGCUCAUCAGUCAAUGGAGGCUAUUAUUCCUCUGCUCUUUUCUCUCUCUCUCUCUCUUAAAAAAAAAACAAAACAAAACAAGGUGCUUACAUGUUGUUGAUGCCAUUAAGGCUUUUUCCAAUAUGAAAUUUUUUUAUAACGUUAUAAUUGACUCGUCUUACAGCAUGAGGUAUUAUCUCGGUAUUGUUUUGAGAAAAGACAGGAUUGUUCAUUUUAAACAGGAACCUUAAUCCUAACGUUAACGAUGAUGUUAGACGAAUAGUCUUGAGUAAGUGCAGCAGUUCUUAAAACAUUCAUGAAAUUCUCCAGAAGAGUUUCACCGUCACCGAGAAGGACGUUGGAAAAGCAGCUCUCUUUUCCGUCACCUUUCAAAAUAGGCCAGGGUUUAUCUGAAGAACCGACAGCGACUAUUUUGACGGAAGAGUAUCGCACGUGAAACGUACGAUACUGCUCAGAUGCUGCAGAGUUUAGGGAUUCGAGCAGACAGUUGCUGAGGUUGACGGCAUGACACAUCAUGAGUAGAGAGAGAUGUGGACGUGUAUGAGAGAGAGAGAGAGAGAGAAAGAAAGAUAAACAGCGAGAAAGCACUGGUGCGUCAUAUGUUUUUGCUAUGUGAGUCAUCACAAAAAGCUCAACGAUGAGCAGCCCCACCCUUCCCUACCAAUCAAAUGUGUUGGAGCACAAGAAGCCUUCAGGGCUUUCAUGCACACAAAGCCAUCAGUCUCAGUCAUCAGUGUGUAUGUUUAAGACAGAUUGUUUUUUUUAAUCCCGCCAAGACACAAUUUUUGGAAGGUAUAUAUUGUGGAAGUCUGGUGCACUUAAUGGACUGUUUGGCUUACGUGCCUGCUUUAAAGGUUCCGUCUCUGAGAAACACCUCGUACUCUAGAACACAUGGUGUCGCCGGUUCCAAGUAGCAAUUCAAAGAAGUCGUAAUUAUACGAAACCCUUAAACGACAUUUUGUUACACGGGCAGAGACGGAGAGAAUUCAUGGCCUGAAUCAUUUAGAGCUGGGUGAAAAAAAAGAUGAUGGUAUUUUAUCCGAACGUUCUCUAAAUCUAUUCCCCAACCCUCUACAGACAUGCCGAUUAUUCCACAAACGUGGCUUGCGUAAUAUUUGCGAAAGGGCACCAAGCCAAGAACCGCUGGAGACAGACAACUUAUUGACGUGUACUGGGUGACUAAUGGCAUGACGUCAUGUGAGAAACCCAGCUCCAAUUAGCAUUGAGGAAAUGAGGGCAUGUUGGCAAGUGUUCAUGGAAACACCAAACCAGCCAAAUGGUGAUAAGGCAGAACUGCACUUACACAAUAACAAACAAACAUGAUUUGAGUGCUACUGAUUUAUGCAAAGUUUAUCAGUUUGGAAAAGAGUUUUUCUUUUAAAAUGUUUUUAUCUAGAUGGCGAGUUAAACGUGUAAAUAUGCAUCAAGUUAAGAAAAAAAACACUUAAGGGUGUGCUGUUAUAGGAAAUUAAUCAGCAACGGGAUUUUCUGAUGCAGCUCGCUUUUCAGGGAACGUCCAUGAAACAAAUUCAUUCCUGUUGCUCCCUCACCAGCCUUUGUCCAUGCCAUCUGCUAGUGUUGACACUGGAGACUCCUUCCAAAAACGCUACAUAAAUCUAAAACAAUUCACCGUUGAGGAUUCAACAGUGCUGUGAUGUAACGUUAGCUAGCUAACAUUCAAUCUCCCCAUGAUGCUAACUAGCAUAUACCCGUUAUUUUUUUAUCUACAACUGAAGUAGAAUAAAAUCAUGUAGCAGUUAAGGAUUUUACCCAAGGGGCAUGCCAUUACAUUUUAAAAUGGAGGACAUGGCUCUUGUAAAUGCUCCGUGUCUUGAAAUCUCUAUCUGCAAACAAAGAAAAACUAUAUAUGCAAGUGUGUAAAUAUCUUUAAUAGAUUAAUUAUAAAUUUAAUUAUAAUUAAAUAAUAAAUAAAUUAUUUAAUUAUAUUUUUUAUUGAUGGUCAUUAAUUAAAAAUAAUAAAAUGUAUUUAAAACAAUUAUUUAAUACAAUAAAUAAAUAAAUUUGUUUUUGGCUAUAAAUAAUAUUUAAUAUUUAUUUACAUUUUUAAAAAAAAAAUAGAAAUGAUCUUUUUCACAUGCCAGCAGUCGUCCAAGGCUCUUCAUCAAAUAUUUCAGUUAUAUUCCUAUCUAAUUAUGUCAUGCAACACCCUCCUCCAUUUUACGCCACUUAAUCGUGUUACUCAGCAGGCCUGCUUGUUCAUUCGUCUCUUUUGAUAAUUCAUGACUUUUAAUGUUUGCUUUUUGCCUGUUAAUGUUUACCUUUCUGUUUUUUUGUAGUUAGAUAUUUAUUUGUACAGUGCCAUUUGGUGUGAGAAUGAGUACAUUAAAUUAGUUUUAUUGGUUAAAAAACAAAACAAAACAACAAAAAAACACCAGACUGAAGAACUGGACACAUCCCAUAA